rnacentral:rRNA from 1 species
UGCGGAGAGUUUGAUCCUGGCUCAGGAUGAACGCUGGCGGCGUGCCUAAUACAUGCAAGUCGAACGAGGUGCUUUUGUAGCAAUACGGAAGUAUCCUAGUGGCGAACGGGUGAGUAACGCGUUGGUGACCUGCCCCAAAGUGUGGGAUAACAGUCCGAAAGGAUUGCUAAUACCGCAUGUGGUCCCCGGGUUUAGAAACCGGUGACUAAAGGAGUAAUUCGCUUUGGGAGGGACCUGCGUCCCAUCAGCUAGUUGGUGAGGUAAUGGCUCACCAAGGCGACGACGGGUAGGGGACCUGAGAGGGUGGCCCCCCACAAUGGAACUGAAACACGGUCCAU